GGGCGAUUAGCUCAGCGGUUUAGAGCGUCCGCCUCACACGCGGAAGGCCACUGGUUCAAAUCCAGUAUCGCCCACCA
rnacentral:tRNA from 1 species